GGGGUCGUAGCUCAACGGAAGCAGCAGCCGGCUUUUACCCGGACGGUUGGGGGUUCGAGCCCCCCCGGCCCCA
rnacentral:tRNA from 1 species